rnacentral:lncRNA from 1 species
CCCUUACAUAAGGAUGAGGAGGGGUGGAUCUGGGCUCCACCCCUUCUGGUCACUCAGGUGCACCUGAGCUUCCUGGUAGGUGUAAAGGGCAGGGAGAACAAUUACUGAAACGUGCUUCUACAAGGCAGAGCAGAGCACAAGAGGCUAGACAGAGCAUUUCAUUGUCUGAUUACAUCUAUUGAUGGGCUUACAGUGGAUCUGAUUUUAACAGCGAGGAGCAGCCUAUUGAUCCACACUCCAGUCCUUUGAUUUCAGAUGGACCAUUCUUGGGACUGGAGCCAGUGAACCUUGAAUCAGUCACCUCUCCUGGACUCCUUCUUCUGAAGAUUCUCUCCCAUGGAAUUUACCUGAGGAUUUUCCUGAACAGGCCAAAGUCUUUUCUCCUGAAGUCCAAGGCUGUAGUCCUGCUUUUUGCCUUCUCCCUCCUUGGUGGUUCCUGAACUCCACUAUUUCAUGUUCACUGCAUUCUAGGGUGCCUCUGACUUUCACAUACAUUACCCAUUCUUCCUUGUUUAUAUGUAGGAUGUCUAUCAGAUUGUCUCCCAUUUUUGACAUCUUAAUCACUCACAUCAGGAAUCAAUAUACUCCAGAAACCAACUGGACUGUUUGUCCACAGCUGUGUUGUCCCUCCAAAAUUAGCAAGUUGUGCUUAACCUCUAGGUCAUCCAAACUGAGUUUAAAAUGG